rnacentral:rRNA from 1 species
UACGGAGGGUGCGAGCGUUGUUCGGAAUUAUUGGGCGUAAAGCGCGUGUAGGCUGUUUAUUAAGUCUGAUGUGAAAGCCCUGGGCUCAACCUGGGAAGUGCAUUGGAUACUGGUAGACUUGAGUACGGGAGAGGGCAGUGGAAUUCCCAGUGUAGGAGUGAAAUCCGUAGAUAUUGGGAGGAACACCGGUGGCGAAGGCGGCUGCCUGGACCGAUACUGACGCUGAGACGCGAAAGCGUGGGGAGCAAACAGG